GACGAACGCUGGCGGCGUGCUUAACACAUGCAAGUCGAGCGGUAAGGCCUUUCGGGGUACCCGAGCGGCGAACGGGUGAGUAACACGUGGGUGAUCUGCCCUGCACUUCGGGAUAAGCCUGGGAAACUGGGUCUAAUACCGGAUAUGACCUCCUAUCGCAUGGUGGGUGGUGGAAAGAUUUAUCGGUGCAGGAUGGGCCCGCGGCCUAUCAGCUUGUUGGUGGGGUAAUGGCCUACCAAGGCGACGACGGGUAGCCGACCUGAGAGGGUGACCGGCCACACUGGGACUGCGACACGGCCCAGACUCCUACGGGAGGCAGCAGUGGGGAAUAUUGCACAAUGGGCUAAAGCCUGAUGCAGCGACGCCGCGUGAGGGAUGACGGCCUUCGGGUUGUAAACCUCUUUCAGCAGGGACGAAGCGCAAGUGACGGUACCUGCAGAAGAAGCACCGGCUAACUACGUG
rnacentral:rRNA from 1 species